rnacentral:rRNA from 1 species
UAUGAAGGGUGCAAGCGUUACUCGGAAUUACUGGGCGUAAAGCGUGCGUAGGCGGUUUGUUAAGUCUGUCGUGAAAGCCCUGGGCUCAACCUGGGAAUUGCGAUGGAUACUGGCAAGCUAGAGUACGGUAGAGGAUGGUGGAAUUCCCGGUGUAGCGGUGAAAUGCGUAGAGAUCGGGAGGAACACCCGUGGCGAAGGCGGCUACCUGGACCAGCACUGACACUGAGGCACGAAAGCGUGGGGAGCAAACAGG